UUUUAGACAACUCAACUGAUGCAUUACUGUCUUCAUUCAACUAACUUUAGAAUUUGUAUUUCCAGUACAUGAGAUAAAAACUAAACUCUACUUCAAAUUUAUAAACUUAAACGAUUUCCAUAACUAAAAUCCACAUGUUGGUUUCCAGAACAACACAAACAAUAUGAAUAAAAAGAAACUGAUAUGAAGUAAUUCACAAACACCUAACAUAACUUAUAUCCGCAUCUCUAAUAACUUGACAAGGAAAUAAGGAAAACUAGAACUAUUUAAUUACAGAUGUUCCAUAUAUAGGUCGAUCAUCAUAAGGAGCAGACCUUAUUGAAGGCAUAGAAAUAAAGCUUAAAUCAUCUCAUUUUUUCAUUCAUUCUUGGGUCAAGGAUUACAACAUCAAUUGAGGAAUUUACCUGGAUAGCAGAAAAAAGUAUCAACAACGUGAACUGAGAUUCCAGCAACAAUGACAGUGAAACAAUAGCAAAUCAGCAGUACCAGCACCCAAGAAUACCCCAGAAAAAACACAGCAUGAAGCACUAGAAACUAGAAUCUAGUAACUCCGUAAAUUAUCCAAAAGAUCUUUCUAUUUUUUUGUGAAAGAUUUUACACUCAAAUAAUACUAACAAAGCUCUAAAAUUUCAGCUUGCUAUAUCUAUUAAGCUGUUGAUUUUUCUCAAAGAUGUGUCUUUUUUUUAGAGUGUAAAAGAUGAUCUCUCAAUAUAUGUAUGAUCGAUUCUCUAAAGUGAGGGAAAUGGUAGCCCUUAAAUAGGCCAAUAAAGUUAGAUUUUUUGGACAGAUUUUGGUUCACCAAAGUCUGUCCAAAAGACUGACUUUGUAUGCUAAACAUUGUUCAAAAGCUGUCCAAAAGGUGAAAGGACAGCCUGAAAAUCUGCUAUGUCAGAAGCAAGGAGAAAAAAUAUCAUUUCAGCCACUCUACUAUUAAAAAGUAGGCUACUAGUACCAUAUUUUAUGAUAAAAUAACCUAAACUUCAGCUCUUACAAUAUUACUACCAACCUAUGUGAUUCAAACCAAAUCAAACUAAAACAACUAAGAAUAGAAAAAACAGAAACAAGGCUUAAAAUGUAAUCAAACUAGGUAUUACACAAACUAAACUAAAACCAAUCGAAUUAUGAGAAUUAACAAUAGACGACUGAAAUUAGGAAACGCCCAAAACAGAACUUGGAUGAGCAUCGCUUAAUUAUCAGACAACGAUCAACAACGAGCUCUUAUACUAUGAACUAACAAGUUAUUCACAACUAAUAUUACCCUAGUUUAAUUAACCUAUAAAUACUACAAACAAAAUUAGGAGCAAAGAUUAAUCCCUAAAACUAAAUCUGAAGCACAAGCUGAAAAAUCAGAAACGGGAAAGGGGAGAUGGAUUGAAGAUUUACCGAAAACUCGAGCAACCAGGCAGCGGUGAAACAAAGGCAGUAGUGGUGAUUCCACCCGGGACAUGGUUUUAUUGUUGAUUGAUACCAAAAAUCCUAAAUCCGGUGAGCUGAAUUUCGAUGUUGGUAUAAUCGACAAUAAAAUCAUGUCUGAGUCUAUUGGAGGCAAAAACAGAAGAACACUAGAGGCAGCGGCGGCAUUAGACGGUCAUUAGUGACUUCGCCGAAAAAUAGUAGACGGAAUUCGGGGUCUAAACAAAUAGUAAAAGAUAGAGCAAAAGGUGUUCUAUCCAUCCACGUAUGUGUUAUAGGGUGGUGGUGGCCGGAACUUCACAAAUUCGAGAAAAAUGGUGGUGGCUAGGGUUUCCUAGAUUUGCAAAUUCGUGGAUUCUGAGGGGUUUUUGAAUGAUUUGGUUUGAAGAUAUGGAAAGAGGAGAUGUUGGAGAUUACAUGGUGAAAUUUGAGGGUGUUUAGACCAACCGCCGCGACGGCGGAUGGUGGCAGAGGAGGCGGACGAGAGAAAGUGAGGAGGGAGCUAGGGUUUGGUUAUAGAGUGAAAUGUAACAAUUUUCAGAUUUU
rnacentral:lncRNA from 1 species